AGUUGUAAUUUGUAGAGGGCACUUCGGGCGCGCGACCGGCCUAAGUUCCUUGGAACAGGGCGUCAUAGAGGGUGAGAAUCCCGUACGUGGCCGGCCGUCACCCUGUGUGAAGUCCCUUCGACGAGUCGAGUUGUUUGGGAAUGCAGCUCAAAAUGGGUGGUAAAUUCCAUCUAAAGCUAAAUACCGGCCAGAGACCGAUAGCGCACAAGUAGAGUGAUCGAAAGAUGAAAAGCACUUUGAAAAGAGAGUCAAACAGUAUGUGAAAUUGUUGAAAGGGAAGCGCUGGCAACCAGACGUGCCCGCGGGCGAUCACCCGGCCUUCGGGCCGGCGCACUCGACCGCGAUCAGGCCAGCAUCGGUUUCGGCGGUCGGACAAAGGCGCGCGGGAAUGUAGCUUCUCUCGGGGAGUGUUAUAGCCCGCGCCGCAAUGCGGCCAGCCGGGACCGAGGACCGCGCUUAUGCUAGGAUGCUGGCGUAAUGGUUGUCAGCGACCCGUCUUGAAACACGGACCAAGGAGUCUAACAUCUAUGCGAGUGUUUGGGCGUCAAACCCAUGCGCGGAAUGAAAGUGAACGGAGGUGGGAGCUUCGGCGCACCAUCGACCGAUCCUGAUGUUUUCGGAUGGAUUUGAGUAGGAGCAUAGCUGUUGGGACCCGAAAGAUGGUGAACUAUACGUGAAUAGGGUGAAGCCAGAGGAAACUCUGGUGGAGGCUCGCAGCGGUUCUGACGUGCAAAUCGAUCGUCAAAUUUGCGUAUAGGGGCGAAAGACUAAUCGAACCA
rnacentral:rRNA from 1 species